rnacentral:rRNA from 1 species
AACGAACGCUGGCGGCAGGCCUAACACAUGCAAGUCGAGCGAGGACUUCGGUCCUAGCGGCGGACGGGUGAGUAACGCGUGGGAACGUGCCCUUUGCUUCGGAAUAGCCCUGGGAAACUGGGAGUAAUACCGGUUGAGCCCUUUGGGGGAAAGAUUUAUCGGCGAAGGAUCGGCCCGCGUUGGAUUAGGUAGUUGGUGGGGUAAUGGCCUACCAAGCCGACGAUCCAUAGCUGGUUUGAGAGGAUGAUCAGCCACACUGGGACUGAGACACGGCCCAGACUCCUACGGGAGGCAGCAGUGGGGAAUCUUAGACAAUGGGGGAAACCCUGAUCGAGCCAUGCCGCGUGAGCGAUGAAGGCCUUAGGGUUGUAAAGCUCUUUCAGCUGGGAAGAUAAUGACGGUACCAGCAGAAGAAGCCCCGGCUAACUCCGUG